UCCUAGCAGUGCACACAGUGGAGGGAUGAGGAUGGAUGAGUCCUACCCCCAAUUUUGAUGGGAUGUGUUUAUGUCCUGUCUCCUCUCCUGGACGUAUUAAGGGAUUGGGACAAGAAGAGACUCCUGUGAGAUCAGCAGACCUUGUAUUUGAGGAGAGAAUACCAGCCUGUAACACCCAUGGAGGGGGACGCCUCCUGGCCCCACCUGCUAAAUACCUCCAAACUCCAGGCAGGCACCUGCAUUCUCAACACAGGACUCCUUCAGUUUCCCACUCAGUGAUUGCUACCACGGUCGUUUCUGAAUGCAGACCCACCACGAGGGACAGAUUCCAUCCGCCCGCCCUGCUGCAGAUCUGCCGCACAGCAGGCACGUGUCUGGAGAGAACAGCUCUGGGCACAGCAUCCUUGGAACCCUCACUCCGAUCAGGGGCCUCACCAGUGCUGAUGAUGCCGUCAUGCCGCUUGCCUGUGACAGUAUCCCAGCUACAACAGGACGCUGGGUUCAGGAAGAUGUGGCUAUCACCUUGAGCACUGACAAGUGGCCUUCCCGGCCAGUUGCCUUCCAAACCCAGGAAGCUGACCUGCAGGAGGGCCUACAAAUGGGCCCAGGAAGAGCUAGGCAGCAGUUGGCUUGUGAUGAGACACCCCGACGCUUUGGGUGGACGGUGUCCUACAUGAGUUGAUAGGAUGGGGUGCUUGGUGGAUGGGCCAUGGAGGUCCGUGAGUGGGAACUGGGCGUACACCAUCCCAGAGGGCUCAGGAUGCCCCAGGAGGGAAAGAAGGGCAACAGACUACACGAUUGGACAUGUGUGGUUGGCUGGGAUGAAGUUGGAGGGAGGGGCGGAGGAUUGGUACUGAUUCCAGGGAGGAAGUAUUGGGGCUUGAUGAACUAUGAUGAAAGGAGGCCUCUUGAGCCAUAACAAGGGGGCACAUCCAGGAUUUCCGCCACCCUGGAUUUAGUAGAGCCAGUAGGCCCUGGUUGUCACUCUGGGCAGGGAUGCCGUCAGCCCUGAGGGUUGCCACCCACCUGUUUGCUGCCCUCUGUACUGUCAGGGAAACAAACACCCCUUGUCUCACCACCGACUUUGCUCAUGUAGUCAGUAGGGCUGGCCCUGCCCCAAGGACUCACUGCAUGUACCCGGACCCCUAGGCCUGGCCUUUGCAGCAGAGGUGACAGCUUCUGGAUUCCAGCUGCAGCUGUGAGCCCCAUGCUGGCUGUGCACUGCACGGGCCUGAGACGGCUGGAUACAAUGUUGGGCAACAACUCAGCCAGCCUGAUGGCAGGCUCAGAGGCUCACUCUAACCCAUCCCAGAAUAAAUGGAGACUUCAUGUGUUCAUUGUUUCAUUCA